GGGGGCGUAAAGGCUUCGACGGGGAUUUUGAAGUAUGAUAAGCGAGUAGAGGUCGCACCAACUCUUUAAACGGUGUAAAAUUAAUUAUAAACGCUAACGAUAAUAACGUUUUAAUGGCUGCUUAGUCAGCCAUUCGUCUGCUGUAGUAGUACCACGGACUGCAAUCAGGCGUCAUUUAGUGGUGAACGUUCUGUUUGAGUGCCUGUGCUUUCAGAAUGUAUUUCAGGCUACCAAGUCUUUCAGCUUGUUUGUCAGCGGCUAGAUAAGGGAAUGUAAAGGAUAAACUAUACUCGUAGAAAUUUAUAUGAAUGGAUUUUCGGACACGAGUUCAAUUCUCGUCGCCUCCACCA
rnacentral:tmRNA from 1 species